rnacentral:tRNA from 1 species
UCCUCGAUAGCUCAAUGGGUAGAGCACCCGGCUGUUAACCGGGGGGUUACAGGUUCGAGUCCUGUUCGAGGAG